rnacentral:rRNA from 1 species
UACGUAGGGCGCAAGCGUUGUCCGGAAUUAUUGGGCGUAAAGAGCUCGUAGGCGGCCUGUUGCGUCCGCUGUGAAAUCCCGGGGCUCAACCCCGGGCGUGCAGUGGAUACGGGCUGGCUGGAGGCAGGCAGGGGAGAACGGAAUUCCUGGUGUAGCGGUGAAAUGCGCAGAUAUCAGGAGGAACACCGAUGGCGAAGGCAGGUCUCUGGGCCACUACUGACGCUGAGAAGCGAAAGCAUGGGGAGCGAACAGG